GGAGUUUGGACCGUGUCUCAGUUCCAAUGUGGGGGACCUUCCUCUCAGAACCCCUACUGAUCGAAGGCUCGGUGGGCCGUUACCCCGCCGACUACCUAAUCAGACGCAUCCCCAUCCCCUAGCGAUAAAUCUUUGUUCCUCAUCAAAUGCUAUCAAAGGAAAACAUAGGGUAUUAAUCUUACUUUCGCAAGGCUAUUCCCGAGUAUGGGGGAGGUUCGAUACGCGUUACGCACCCGUGCGCCGGUCGCCGGCAAAGAAAGCAAGCUUCCUUCCCGCUGCCCCUCGACUUGCAUGUGUUAGGCCUGUAGCUAGCGUUCAUC
rnacentral:rRNA from 1 species